ensembl:lncRNA
CAGUGCCGUUGUGCCAUUAUAUCCUUUCUUCCCCCCUUUCUACAUGUAUUCAGUUCCUGUUCUACAUAUUGUCCAUUAGAAUGAAAUUCUUCCUCUGAUCAGGAACAUCCCAGGUGGAUGGAAAGAAGCGCUCCUCCCUGUUCUGAGUGAACCGGGUCGUGGAUGGAACAUCUCGCCACAGUCUUCUUUCGCAUUUUUCUAUUUUCUUUUUCAUUAUUAAGCUACCUGUAAUCAAAUAUAUUUCCGUUACUUUAGCAAAGCACCACGAGUUCCCUUAAUGUAACUUUAGAGCUGUUGUUCAUUCUUUAAUUAGAAACGACAUGUAUCUAAAUGGGAAUCAAAUUAAAAAAUAUUUAUCAGCGCUUUAGAAAUAAAAACAAUUUGCAAAUUUUUUUAUGUAAUGAGACAGAGAAAUCUAAAUAAAUAAACAAAUGGAUCACCAACAGGGCGGCACCGCUCCCAGAAAUGCCUCGGAGCCGAGUCACUGGAGGAGAGGCAGAAUCCCAGACGUCAAACACACACACACCUACAGUCUGCCGAUUUACGUUCUUGUUGAAAAGCAACAAGAGCAAUCAAGGGAUGGAGAGGUAGGUUGUCGACUAGUUUUUCUAGUUUCUGGAAUCUUUUAAUGAUUGUCACUCAUCCACCAAACGUCAAUGCUUAAUAUGUAGUUAAAAGUCAGUUCAAGUCGCAUCAAAUAGAACAUCAAAUGAUAGAGUGCAAAAGAAACAGAUUUUAAACAUUAUUUAAAUACAAUUAAAACAUGUGGAAUCUAGAUUACUAGAUUAUUAGAUGAAAAUAGGCAGAUGUAAAAUAAGCCAUAAAAGUUUAGAUAAAUUCAGAAUAUUUCAUGAAUCUAAAUCGGCUGAAAGGUAUAAAUAUUAUGAACUUCUCGAUUCUACUUUUCUUCAAGAUUCUUCAAUAGCAGAGACAAAAAAACAUAAAAUACUUGACUACAAAGAGCCUCAAAGCUUCUAGAGAAAGACCACAACCACUAUGAAGAGACACAAAGCAACGCCAAAAAGAUACAAAGAGUCAAAGACUAUAAAAAGGGACCAACCACCAAAAGACACAAAACAACCAUAAACAACUUAGGAGACACAAAAGACAACUUCACAAAACCCUUCAAGCCUUCACAGCGUGAACUAGGCUGCAGCGCCGUUGUGUCUGAUGUGUCUCUUUGUGGGUCUCUGAAUGUCUUUCUAAUGUCUUUUGUCUCACAGCCUGAGCACAUGCCUUGUUCUCGUGUCAGUCGCACAUGAUGCAUCCUGACAUGUUGACUGUUUACAAACAACGCCCUGCUCUUCUGCCAACGUCACAACAACAGCAAAGAAAUGUCCCCACAAAAGAGUGGGCGGGGCUUGUUUCCCUGUAAUACGUCUGUCUCAAACAGCUGUAAUACCUUUAUUUAGAAAUAGGUUUAUAUGAUGUGAUAAUUCAAAACGAGUGUACAUUUAUUUGUGCAAGCACUAAACAAAUAAAAGCUUUUAUUCAGCAGCAGAUUAAACAGUUCUUCCUCAAUUCCUCAAUUUAAACACUUAAAAUCAACAUUAAAAAAAAGUAAAUGUCCCCAAGGGCGGUCAGAAGUGUGGCCCGGGGGCCCAUAACUGGUCUUGUAAUGUAUUGUUUAUGGCCCACAAACACUGUUAAAUAAAAAGUGGUCAAUCAAUUGUAAAUAAGUAACGUUCUGUAUAUAUUGUACAAACAAAUGAUGACACGUGUCAACUGUUUAGCCAGGGUUAAUUCAUAAAGUGGAUCAUUAUCACUUGAAUGGUCUCAAUCACUGCUCUGUUAAUAAUGACAAUAAGGCAUUCAUGCUUUCAAUCGCCCGGAUAUUCUCACACUUACAUGAAAGACUCACAAUGUCUGUUGAGCUCACACCGAUUAUACCGGCAUUGAAUGAACUGAAGAAAACAAAUUCAUCUUUUCAUAACUUCCAUGUGUCUUCAACCGAGGUGAAAAGUUCAAACCAGAGUCUGGAUAAGAAGGCAUGGCAGUUUAUUUAAAGUAAUGGCCUUGGCCACAUGACUCCCUGGUGCCCUUUUAAGAUUUUCUUUCCUAAAAUCUUCUUCUCUUUUGGUUGCAGCAAAUCCCAUGAAUAAUAUUUGAUCAGUAAAUAUAAACAUAAAUAUUCCCUAUUUUUUUGGAAUUAAUAUUUUAUCCGAUGAAGAUUGAUAUAAAUCUGUCUUUGUAGGAUACAUUUAAAUCCUAUAACAUCGACUGGAUAUACAUGUUACCAUGUUUAUAAAUAGCACAGAGCCGAUGUGAUUAUGAGUCAAUGGAAUAUGUUUGUGAUAUUUAAAGGAAGAUAGUGUAAAAUGAUCAGAGGUAUUUUGUUUUGGUUUCACUUUGUGACGACAGCAGCUUCCUUUGCGCAGGAAUAGAAAUAGAAACAUGGUGUUGACUUACGCCGGCCUCGCCGAGGCGCCGCCCUCCGCUUUAUCCUGCGGUGUGCGCCCGUCCUUGUGAGGAGGAGAACCUGAACACGGGAGGAGAGCAUCGACCCAGAGGAGCAGCAGAAGGCCUCGGAUCAGUCCAACACCUGGAAGGUCAUGUGACUCCAGGUUCUAAAAGCAUCAUCUUUGCUAGAAUGGCACCACAAGGGGACGUCAGGGGGCUCUGCCGAGGGUCUUCACAUCAGAUGUGAAAGUCAAACAUAAAGAGUCUGUUUAUAGCUUCUCUACUUUUCAGAUCAAAGUGCAUAUAUGUGUGCUUCCUGCUCGGGACUUUAUCGGAGAGGAAGUAGAGGAAACACCAAAGAAACAUCACGUUCUCCAGUACAGACCUCAGAGGACCAGACGAACCGCUGUGAGCUCAUCAGCGCUGCACCAGAAGGUCGUCCAGGUCCCCUCUCUCCACUAUAUUAAUGUUUAUUUAUUGGCAGAUGGGAAUCAAUCAGGAACGGGAAAUAAACCAGAAACUCACACAGCGUUCUGUUGUUCCUGGAUGAAAGGAUCUUAAAGUAGACAGAUGAAAGUCAAACCAAAUUGCCCAGAGGUGACUCGCCCUGCCCGUUUUACCCACAAUGCAGCAAAGCAGAAUGGUCCAUAUUUGUGGAAGCCGAAUGUCCCAGAGCGCAUUUUACCCCAGAAACGGGCAACAGUGGUAGAGGAUCACGUCCAUGUUAGUGAUCUGCUCAGCACCUCGCUUUCAUCUCCUGAGGAGGGACACGAAUAACGGGGAAGACUCCCGCCUGAAUAAAAAGGUAUAAAAGAACUAAACAAAGAAUUACAACACAUUACAAAGCAACAUGAACUGCAAAGUGUAUUUCAAAUUACAAUGGAACCUGUAGUUACAAACACACACUAAUGACAUCAUUUGGGUCUUUUAUACGGAUACUGUCGGGAUCUCUGAUCCCCCCGAGUUGGUUGAUGAGAAGGAUCGCAACACGUUGAUCAAUUAAAGUCAAAAAGUUAACAUUUAUUUAGAAGAGAAAAAGAUUACAUGAGCAAUUCUCCGCAGAUAUAUCUGGCUCUAACUAUUGCUUGCAAGCAGGAGAUCGAAUUCACGAGCACAUAUCUCAGCGUUUGGUGUAAAUGGCGUCUCCGAGCAGUAGAAACGCUGAGUCUUUAUACACAUGUGAAGGCCAUGCUCAUUGCCAAGUACGAGAAGCUGCAAAUCAGGUUGAGAUAAGAACCCAGGUGAAGAUGAACACACACUGCUCCUUUGUUCAAGCGCCUGUGAGAGCAAGUUAACUCCCUUCUUCAGAAACAGCUGCAUAUGGAAACCUUAAAUCUUUUGAGUUCUGCGUCUGAAAAUCUGCGUUUUUGCACAUCAGGGUCAAAUACAGACACUUGAGACAUGGCUUUAGCACAAGACAGUGUUAUAACAUAUUUUACCAUUACAUGCAAUAACAAUACAAAACCUUUUUAUUUGCAUAGAAACACACAUUUACCUCUGAAACCUUUUUCUGUUAUUUAUCCACAAGAAAGCUUUCGAUGAAGGGAGACGUUUCCAGCGUGCUCAUCUGUGGACCUGUCCCCAUGGGGUGGAGAAGAGGGACACCUAGUCGCAGCAGCCGCAACAUCUGUGUGCUGCUACGUCUGUCCCGGGGGAGUCCAGGACAAGAAGGACUCCAUAGCAGAAAUACUUUUUUUAAAGUAAGAAUACCAAACGGACCAACGAGACAGACCAAAAGACCACCCACCAUGGACUAACGAGCCGAGAAGGAGACAGGGACACGCAUGGCUGUCCGGUGGACGACCAGAGGGAGGAUAAAGUCGAAGCAUGACGUCGGCGUAUCUUGCUGCUACUUGUGACCCUGUCUUUUUCGUGUCUCAUUAUCGGUCGUCCUCCUCACCCGUUCCCCUGUCGGCCCAAAAGCACAUACAGUUUGCACCAGUUCAUUCCACCGGCACUCUGACAGUUGUAAUGGUAAAAAUAUGUUAUAACAUUGUUUUGUGCUAAAGCCGUGUCUCAAGUGUCCUGUAUUUGACCCCGAUGUGCAAAGAGCAGCAUGAUACAAAAUGUUAGUUUGCGGCUGUGCCCUGAGAAGGGAGGACGGUUGACUCGAUCUCAUAGAAGCUUCAAAACAAAGGACUCCUGUUCAUGGCCUUGGUUGAUAUCUUAUUUUGUACGAAAGUUCUGGAUCCAAGUUUUACUUUUAUGUCAAUUAAUAAUGAUUGGUACCGGCCACUGAGGAGGAUCUUGUGUGUGUGUGCUACCCUCAGCUUCACCUGGGUUCUUAUCUCAACCCGCUUUGAAGCUUCUCGUAACGGGCAUGGAGAAUGUCCUUCAUAUGUGUAUAAAAACUCAGCGUUCUUACUGCUCGGAGACGUCAUUUCCACAGAGCACCGUGAUACGUGCCUGUGUAUUUGACCUCCUGCUUGCAAGCAAUAAAUGGACUUUUUGCAACUUUGAUCAUUCAUCAAGACUCUGUUUUAUCAGACAAAUCAUUGUCUUCUACCGAGCUUUUAUUGAAAUAUUCCUUAACACAGUUCAUAAUCAUAAAAACUGUUUUGUAGACUUGGGAACGACUAUAUCAUUUCCCAGGUUCAUUAAAAGUUGUGGCCCUGAUGACAGUGUAAGGGUGGUGAAAGUAAUGUACUAUUAAUUAAAUCAACGUAUGUCAACCCGUCAAACAGGUUCCGGGACAUUUGCCCUUCAUGACUUGGUGUUUUAAAUAACUCUGACUUACUUGUCUUCUGGUUCGUAAAUACUAUUAGUCAGCUGGCUCCAUUGUUCACUACAUACAACUUCCCUGAAUCUGAAACAAGAUCAUUUGUCUGACGUCAAGACAGCUUUUAUGUCCAGAUUGAGAAUUGUGAGUCAUUAUAAAGAAAUCAUAUUUGAAUAAGUUCAUUACUUUCAAAAGCGUCACAGCAUCACUUGUUACUAGUUUGUGUAAAUAUGAAUCUGCACUUUUCCAUCACAUGCCAAUCAACGUAUGCUUUACAAAAUGAGGGUAUUAAGUUAAGUUUUUAUUCUCUGAUUUGAAUGUCUGUCAGGCUCUUUCUGCUCAAGAUGAGAGCUUGUCUUCAAUAAUAUUUUUGGAUAUCCUGUGUUUAUUGCAAUGACUUGUGGGUAAUUCCCUUGGACCAAGUCGCCAUUUGAUGUGAAUGACACAAAGGGCUCGUUAUGACGUGACAGAAGCAAACCGUCCAACGUAAUCUCCCAAACCUGUUCGUAAAAAUGUAUACGAAAAUCUUGAACAUACGAACUGGCGGGGGUUAACCACGCCCCUUGAGUGAACAACAUGUCGGACCAUGUUGGAUUCUUGAGUGACCGUCUCUCCGCCAUGUUGGAUAUUUUGAGGGGGUUAGGGUUAGUAUUCGAUUCUUACAAUUUAAUAUUGAUUUCUCGUUAAAAAUGCAAUCAUAACACGUUUAUUUUACAUCGUUAGACUUCACAAAGUGUGUUUACGGGGUGCAGGUCCCCAUUCACUUUGAAUAGGGUGACGUCAUCAGUUACAGUAUUUAUUUAGUAUGUAUCACUACGAAUUUGUAUGUUCAAUUUUUGUAUACAGGUUUUGGAGAUCAGGCUGAACCGUCAGAAGGUCAACGGGAGCCUCGAAGUCAAAGAGGGCAGAGUUCACGAUACAUAUAUUCAUAAAUACAAAUAAUAAUGCAACGUGUGUUAUGUACAUGCAUCAAGAAAUGAAAUGUAAAAAAAUAUAUGAUAAAAAUCUUCCCGCUGACAAAAGUUUGUUAUUAAACAAAAGGACUUUUCAGUAUUUUCUUGACUAACAAAUUGUGGCACUUAAAUUGUACUUAUAACGCCACUCAUCUAUAGCAAAUUGUAAAUUGGCUUAUCUGAGGAAAUUGCACUUUCUGUUUUCUUGUUCUUAUGAGUUUGUACCCCUAUGGUUGAAUGCACUUAUUGUAAGUCGCUUUGGAUAAAAGCGUCAGCUAAAUGACAUGUAAUGUAAAAAAAAUAUAUAUUUUGGCAGCACACAUUUUAUCAACAGCGAGAUUAGGUUUUCAUAACUCUGUGAACAUGUGACAUCAGAGCGGCCGAGCAGCUGAUUUAACAUGUUCCCAUUGUCCCUGGAGCAGCUUUCCAACCCAAAGGUCGUGUUACACAACAGGUUUCUCCUCUAACGUGCUUCCCUUAAAGCCGAAUGAGCUGUGAUGCUUGUGCGUUUAUGAAACAGGCCGAGGCCGGAUUAUCGUUUGAGCUGCACCUAAUUACAUUCCUGUCAGAGCUUGAUACCCAAAAUGUAUUUGACAUAUACAAGACGUAAAAGAUAACUGCAUAGAACUUGUCACACACUCCUGACAGGAGAAACAGCUCAUUUUACAUAUUCUAUUAUCAUAUUCUGUAACCUUUUGGAGGGUUUUUUCUUUGCGGUCCUGGGACAGAAGGUGUUGUUAUUUGUAAAAGUUGUAAAGCCAUCAAGCAAAAGGUUUGAACCAGUUCAUUACUCAUACUCAGCCCUGAGGAUUCCACCAAUUCAAUCAGUCAAUCCCCAAUAAGUUGAUUUGCUCCAGUGAAAUGAUCAAAAGUAUUCAAAAUGGCUCCGUGUAGAUGCAUGUAAAACACAGGAAGACAUUGCUUAUAUUUUGACGCAUCUGCUGCAAAAUAUCUUCUAAAAUAACAUAAAUGACGUGUAAUAAAACAUUAUAGUUGUUCCAGGUUGCAGUUUUAUGGGGAUGAAACAUAUUGUCCUUGUAAUAUGAAAGCCAUGUGAUCCGGUUUAUCAUGUAAACUAUGUGCCGAUCCCCAUAAGGUGCCCGUACGUGUGUCCACAAGAACACAAGUUCAGCAAGUUUAUAAUUGCAACAUUAAAACAAGGUGGAGUCUGAUGUACGGUAAGUCUAUUAAUCAGGCUCUGGGUUGGUUGUUCUUUAUCUUCUGCACAAAGUGAACGCCAGCAGCGACAGUCAUGAUCUAAUAAAACAUUUAUGGGACGCUAAAACUUUGUUGAAAUUUCAUUAUUUAGAUUAAAUGACCAUGUUUUAAAAAUGUUGAAAACUACAAAUGAAAAACAUUGAAAUAGAUCAAAAAUAUGGUUACUUUCUGAAUUUACUGUGAUCCUCAGUUACUUUCUUUCUCUUCUCACCUCAACAGAACCUCGGAGAACACUCGGGUUUGAUAUGGAAGCUCACCUCAAGUCCACCAUAGAUCUUGUGACCUGAGCUCAGACAAAUCAUGUUUAUUCACUUCAUAACCGCAUGGACUGUUCACGAUUGUUCCUGAAAAAUUAUGUAUAUACACCAAAGUACUG